ensembl:snRNA U6 U6 spliceosomal RNA
AACAUUAGCAGAUGUUACACUUAUUUAACGACACAGAUAAGAUCAUCAUGGCCCGUGCAAAAGGCUGACACAAACAUAGACAAAAUGUUCCUCAUUUCC